rnacentral:tRNA from 1 species
GCCAUUAGCAGCGCUUGGCUAACGCUGACAAGCUCAUAUGCAGGCUAAUUUGUAAUCAGGGGGUCGCGGGUUCGAACCCUGCCGGGGGCACCA